UACGAAGGGGGCUAGCGUUGCUCGGAAUUACUGGGCGUAAAGCGCACGUAGGCGGCUCUUUAAGUCGGGGGUGAAAUCCUGGAGCUCAACUCCAGAACUGCCUUCGAUACUGAAGAGCUUGAGUCCGGGAGAGGUGAGUGGAACUGCGAGUGUAGAGGUGAAAUUCGUAGAUAUUCGCAAGAACACCAGUGGCGAAGGCGGCUCACUGGCCCGGUACUGACGCUGAGGUGCGAAGGCCAGGGGAGCAAACGGG
rnacentral:rRNA from 1 species